AUGAUGUUUCCAACAACUCUGGUUGUCAUAUUGGGUUUUCUGAGUCAAGAGUCAUUUGCCAACAAUUUUCUGUCUCAGCCUGAUAAAGCCAAGUCUGUCAUUUUGCGAAGUACAGUGACCAUCAGUGCCACAGGAAGUACAAAUAUUGAUAAUGCUCUAAGCUGGUACCUUCAGAAACCUGGACAGCCUCCCAAACUUCUUAUAUACUGGGCAUCAAAUCACUUCUCAGGAACUCCGUCUCGUUUCAGUGGCAGUAGAUCUGGUUCUCAGUACACUUUAUCCAUCAGUGAUAUUCAGGCGGAAGAUGUUGGAGAUUAUUACUGUGUGGGCUACCAUUAUGAUGGCACGUUCACACAGUGA